rnacentral:rRNA from 1 species
GCUCUCUAGAAGACUACUAGUUUGAUAGGCUGGGUGUGUAAUGGAUGAAAGUCCUUUAGCUGACCAGUACUAAUAGAGCGUUUGGCUUAUCUUUAAUAAAGCAU